GCAAACUUGGUCAUUUAGAGGAAGUAAAAGUCGUAACAAGGUUUCCGUAGGUGAACCUGCGGAAGGAUCAUUAUUGAAUAAAAUCUAAUGGGUUGUAGCUGGCUCUUCCAAGGGCAUGUGCACACCUGUUAUUUUAUCUUCUCCACCUGUGCACUAUUUGUAGACUUGGAUAUCUCUCGAGGAAACUCGGAUAGGAUCUGCUGUGCCUUGAAUAAAGGGCACGGCUUGUCUUACCUUUCCAGUCUAUGUUUUUAUAUACACCAUAUAUAUGUCGUUGAAUGUUCAAUUGGCUUUUUAUGCCUAUAAACAUAAAUACAACUUUCAGCAACGGAUCUCUUGGCUCUCGCAUCGAUGAAGAACGCAGC
rnacentral:misc_RNA from 1 species